rnacentral:rRNA from 1 species
CCUACGGUUGGCAGCAGUGGGGAAUAUUGCACAAUGGGGGGAACCCUGAUGCAGCGACGCCGCGUGAGUGAAGAAGUAUUUCGGUAUGUAAAGCUCUAUCAGCAGGGAAGAAGAUGACGGUACCUGACUAAGAAGCCCUGGCUAACUACGUGCCAGCAGCCGCGGUAAUACGUAGGGGGCAAGCGUUAUCCGGAUUUACUGGGUGUAAAGGGAGCGUAGACGGCAGGGCAAGUCUGGAGUGAAAGCCCGGGGCCCAACCCCGGGACUGCUUUGGAAACUGCCAUGCUGGAGUGCAGGAGAGGUAAGCGGAAUUCCUAGUGUAGCGGUGAAAUGCGUAGAUAUUAGGAGGAACACCAGUGGCGAAGGCGGCUUACUGGACAGUAACUGACGUUGAGGCUCGAAAGCGUGGGGAGCAAACAGGAUUAGAUACCCUGGUAGUC